rnacentral:rRNA from 1 species
GAAAGUAAGCAAGGGCAGACGGUGGAUGCCUUGGCUCUCGGAGGCGACGAAGGACGUGAUAAGCUGCGAAAAGCCCGGGGGAGGCGCAAAUAGCCGUUGAUCCCGGGAUAUCCGAAUGGGGCAACCCGGCAGGCUGAAGGCCUGUCAUCCCGAAAGGGAGGCGAACGUGGGGAACUGAAACAUCUAAGUACCCAUAGGAGGAGAAAAUAAACAAUGAUUCCGUAAGUAGUGGCGAGCGAACACGGAAGAGCCCAAACCCAUGUCGUCUAGGCGACACGGGGGUUGUAGGACCACGACGUGGCAAGAAGGAAGGGAAAUGGAACGACUUGGAAAAGUCGGCCAUAGACGGUGAAAGCCCGGUACAUGACUCCCUUACGAAGCCUAGUGGUAUCCUGAGUAGCGCGGGGCACGAGAAAUCUUGCGUGAAGCAGCGGGGCCCAUCCCGUAAGGCUAAAUACUCCCGAGAGACCGAUAGCGAACCAGUACCGUGAGGGAAAGGUGAAAAGAACCCCGAGCAGGGGAGUGAAAUAGACCCUGAACCCGUCUGCCUACAAGCGGUCGGAGCGUCGUAAUGACGUGACGGCGUGCCUUUUGCAUAAUGAACCUACGAGUUACCUUCCCCGGCAAGGUUAAGUUCUUGAGGAACGGAGCCGAAGCGAAAGCGAGUCUGAACAGGGCGCCAAGUCGGGGGGGGUAGACGCGAAACCGAGUGAUCUACCCUUGGCCAGGUUGAAGGUUGGGUAACACCAACUGGAGGACCGGAUGGGUAAGCGUUGAAAAGCUUUCCAAUGAGCUGAGGGUAGGGGUGAAAGGCUAAUCAAACUCGGAGAUAGCUCGUACUCCCCGAAAUGCAUUUAGGUGCAGCCUCUUUAUAGUAUAUCGUGAGGUAGAGCGACUGAUUGGAUGCGAGGGCUUCACCGCCUAUCAAGUCCAGAUAAACUCCGAAUGCGCGAUAUAUAUUUACAGGGAGUGAGGGCGCGGGUGCUAAGGUCCGUGUCCGAGAGGAGAAGAAUCCAGACCACCGGCUAAGGCCCCCAAAUGAUCGUUAAGUUGAACUAACGAGGUCGGAUCGCAGAGACAGCUAGGAUGUUGGCUUGGAAGCAGCCAUUCAUUUAAAGAGUGCGUAACAGCUCACUAGUCGAGCGAUCUGGCGUGGAUAAUAAUCGGGCAUAAACGAUCUGCCGAAGCCGUGGAUGUCGCAAGACAUGGUAGGGGAGCAUUCCAUGCCGCGUCGAAGAUGAGGGAUGACCCUUGUUGGAGCGCAUGGAAAAGCAAAUGUAGGUAUGAGUAACGAUAAGGGGGGCGAGAAACCCCCCCGCCGAAAGACCAAGGUUUCCUGAUCAACGCUAAUCGGAUCAGGGUGAGUCGGGACCUAAGGCAAAGCCGAACGGCGCCGCCGAUGGAAGAAUGGGUUAAUAUUCCCAUACUGCCUCAUGGAGUGACGUGGAGACGGAGAAGUGACAGUCCUGCCGGCUGACGGAAUAGCCGGUUGAAGGGUGUAGAUAUUGAUUCCCGUAGGCAAAUCCGCGGGGAGAGUCGAACCUGAGAGUAUACGGAGCGCUUGCGCAACGUAAUAUGGACGUAACCAUGCUCCCGAGAAAAUCCGCUAAACUUAUCCAUGCGGCACCCGUACCGUAAACGGACACACGUGGUCGGGUUGAGAAUACUGAGGCGCUCGAGUGAUUCACGGUUAAGGAACUAGGCAAAUUGACCCUGUAACUUCGGGAUAAAGGGUCCUCGUCGUAAGGCGAGGCGCAGAGAAUAGGUCCAGGCAACUGUUUAACAAAAACACAUGGCUGUGCUAAAUGGAAACAUGAUGUAUACAGCCUGACACCUGCCCGGUGCCGGAAGGUUAAGAGGAGAUGUCAUCCGCGAGGAGAAGCGUUGAAUUGAAGCCCCGGUAAACGGCGGCCGUAACUAUAACGGUCCUAAGGUAGCGAAAUUCCUUGUCGGGUAAGUUC